AUGGUUCUUCCAUUCUCCCCUCUAUCCAUGUGUUUUGAGGAUGUGAACUACUAUGUCGACAUGCCUGCAGAAAUGAAACUAAGAGUGACGGAUGAUAGGCUCCAAUUGUUACGUGGCGUUACUGGAUCAUUUAGACCAGGAGUGCUAACAGCGCUCAUGGGAGUCAGUGGAGCUGGAAAGACGACUCUUAUGGAUGUUUUAGCUGGAAGAAAGACUGGUGGUUAUAUUGAAGGAGAUGUCAGAAUUUCUGGUUAUCCAAAAAACCAAGCAACAUUUGCAAGGAUUUCUGGUUAUUGUGAGCAAAAUGAUAUCCAUUCACCUCAGGUCACGAUUAGAGAAUCUCUUAUAUACUCCGCCUUCUUGCGUCUUCCUGAAAAGAUCGGAGAUCAAGAUAUCACUGAUGAUAUCAAGAUACAAUUUGUUGAUGAAGUUAUGGAGCUAGUGGAGCUUGACAAUCUGAAGGAUGCUUUAGUCGGCCUGCCAGGAAUUUCAGGGCUUUCAACAGAGCAAAGAAAGAGGUUAACUAUAACUGUGGAGCUUGUCGCAAAUCCAUCGAUCAUCUUCAUGGAUGAACCGACAUCAGGUCUUGAUGCAAGAGCAGCAGCAAUUGUUAUGAGAACAGUGAGGAACACUGUUGACACUGGACGGACUGUGGUUUGCACAAUCCACCAGCCAAGCAUUGACAUCUUUGAAGCUUUUGAUGAGUUGCUAUUACUGAAAAGAGGAGGCCAGGUGAUAUACUCUGGGAAACUGGGUCUCAACUCACAGGAAAUGGUCGAAUACUUUGAGGCAAUUCCUGGAGUGCCUAAAAUCAAAGAUAAGUACAAUCCUGCAACAUGGAUGCUUGAGGUCAGUUCAGUUGCUGCAGAAGUACGCUUAAACAUGGAUUUUGCUGACUACUACAAGACUUCAGAUCUGUUUAAGAAAAACAAGGCAUUGGUUAACCGGCUAAGUCAACCAGAACCAGGAACAUCAGAUCUGUAUUUUCCUACAGAAUAUUCUCAAUCCAUUAUUGGGCAGUUCAAAGCCUGCCUCUGGAAGCAUUGGCUGACCUAUUGGCGCAAUCCAGAUUACAACCUCGUCAGAUUUUCCUUCACUUUGUUCACAGCCUUGCUGCUCGGCUCCAUAUUUUGGAAGAUCGGCACCAAUAUCGGAGAUGCCAAUACUCUUAGAAUGGUCAUUGGAGCAAUGUAUACAGCAGUGAUGUUCGUCGGCAUCAACAACUGUUCAAGUGUUCAGCCAAUUGUUUCAAUCGAGAGAACAGUUUUCUACCGAGAGAGGGCUGCUGGGAUGUACUCUGCAAUGCCCUAUGCCAUUGCUCAGGUUGUCAUGGAGAUACCUUAUGUCUUCGUCCAAGCCUCGUAUUACACCCUCAUCAUAUACGCGAUGAUGGGCUUCCAGUGGACAGUUGCCAAGUUCUUCUGGUUCUUCUUCGUCUCCUACUUUUCCUUCCUCUACUUCACCUACUACGGGAUGAUGACUGUAAUCUCACCAAACCAUGAAGUUGCAGCCAUCUUCGCCGCAGCUUUUUAUUCCCUCUUCAACCUUUUCUCUGGAUUCUUCAUCCCGAGACCGAAAAUCCCCAAAUGGUGGAUCUGGUACUACUGGAUUUGCCCAUUGGCAUGGACAGUUUAUGGGCUCAUAGUGACACAAUAUGGAGACCUGGAAGAGACCAUCUCCGUCCCAGGACAAUCAGACCAGCCAAUCAGUUUCUACAUAAGUCAUCACUUUGGAUUCCACAGGAGCUUCAUGGCGGUCGUUGCACCGGUGCUUGUGCUCUUUGCGGUGUUCUUCGCGUUCAUGUAUGCUCUCUGCCUAAAGAAGUUGAGCUUCCAACAACGAUAG
rnacentral:rRNA from 1 species